rnacentral:lncRNA from 1 species
CGGAAUGAGGAACUGCUUGAUUUCAAUAAAAACUGGGAAGAUCUCCAUGAAGUGAUGUGGAAUGAAAGGAGCAGAAGCAGGAGAACACACUGUACACAGUAACUGAAACAUUGUGGGACGAUCAAAUGUAACAGAUUCUGCUACUAAUAGCAAUGCAACGAUCAAGAAUCAUCCCAUAGAGCUCAUGAGUAAGAACGCUAUCCACAUUGAGAGAAAGAACCGUGGGAGCAGAAAUGCAAAAGAAAAUAUAUGGUUCAUUGAGGUCUGAUUAUUCCAUUUCAUUUUGGACAAUUAACUGGGGUAAAAACUCAUAUUUAUAUCAUAAAAGGAGUUCAGUAGCCAACCUUUGGUUACCCCUACACAUAGAAGGAUGGGAUAAGGAUGCUCUUCUAAUGAAAGAGACUGAGGGCCAGAUGGGGCCAAACAAGGAGUACGAGAAUCAUGAGGGAGCAGCAGAAUCAAAACUCAAAGUAGAGAGCUUUGAUUUGUUUUCAUUUCAGUCAUGUCCAACUCUUGAUGACCCCAUUUGGAGUGGAGAGACUAGAAUGGUUUGCUAUUUUCCUUUCCAGUUCAUUUGA